rnacentral:lncRNA from 10 species
ACAAUCACCAGCACCUUGCCCAGCCAAGGGCCCGGAAGCAAGAAAAAAACAACCAAAACACCAUGUCACAGCCAGGAGAGCCUUGCACGCUUCACACACAGCUCAACAAGCCUGGGUUUCCGGUGUCUCAACUCCUGCAGAAAUGAAGCCUCAAGUCAGGAAGGGUGAGGAGGGGCACGGACAAGGCCCAACGGCAGCAGGAUGGCGCAGAAAGCCUGAGGGACACAAAACCUUCUAGGCCUAGUCGUAGGCAGUGGGGCAGCACCGUGGAGCCACGUGGUAGAGGGAUAGCCGCCCUGUGUGUCCAGGGCAAGGUGGCACAGCAUGCCUGGACCGCUGAGAAGGAAGGACUUCCCUCAAGAAUGUGUCUUGCGCCGGGUGCAGGGGCUCACGCCUGUAAUCCCAGCACUUCAGGAGGCCAGGGUGGGUGGAUCGCCUGAGCCCAGGAGUUUGAGACCAACCUGGACAACAUAGUGAGACCAUCUCUACAAACAUAAAAAUAAAUUAGCUAGGCAUGGUGGCACAUGCCCGGGGUCUCAGUUACUGCAGAGGCUGAGGCAGGAGAAUCACUUAAACCCAGGAGUUCAAGGCUGCGGUGAGCUGAGAUCACACCACUGCACUCCAGCCUGGAUGACAGAACAAGACCCUGUCUUAAAAAACAGACAGACAACAAAAGAAUGUGUCUCUGAAAAAGGCCCACGUCUGUGGCUGUUAAACAGAGCAGCUCGUCUCCUGAGGCUGGAGCGAUGGAGCUGGAAGGGCCUCACAGCUGUCCGGGCCAGGCUCCUUGCUGCACAGGUGGGAUCUGCUGGCUCCAGAGAGUUCUUCAGACCCUGCAAGAGGGAUCUGAGAAGAGGGACCAGGCCCCCCGGUUCCCAGGCCCUGACUCUCCCACUGUUUGUCCUUCCCUGAUCAGAGCA